GACAGAGGGUGCAACCGUUGUUCGGAAUUACUGGGCGUAAAGCGCGUGUAGGCGGUUAUGCAAGUCGGGUGUGAAAGCCCCGGGCUCAACCCGGGAAGUGCAUUCGAUACUGCGUAGCUAGAGUACUGGAGAGGAUGGUGGAACUCUCGGUGUAGAGGUGAAAUUCGUAGAUAUCGAGAAGAACACCGGUGGCGAAGGCGGCCAUCUGGACAGAUACUGACGCUGAGACGCGAAAGCGUGGGGAGCAAACAGG
rnacentral:rRNA from 1 species